CUCAGGAUGAACGCUAGCGGCAGGCUUAACACAUGCAUGUCGAGGGGUAACGAUCCCGCUUCGGUGGGAGGCGACGACCGGCAAAUGGGUGAGUAAUACAUAUGCAACUUGCCCGUAGCUGGAGGAUAGCUUCCGGAAACGGAAAUUAAUACUCCAUAAUAUCCUAAUAUCGCAUGUUAUAAGGAUUAAAGUUUCGACGGCUACGGAUGGGCAUAUGUCCCAUUAGCUUGUUGGUGAGGUAACGGCUCACCAAGGCUACGAUGGGUAGGGGGCCUGAGAGGGUGAUCCCCCACACUGGUACUGAGACACGGACCAGACUCCUACGGGAGGCAGCAGUGAGGAAUAUUGGUCAAUGGAGGCAACUCUGAACCAGCCAAGCCGCGUGAAGGAAGACUGUCCUAUGGAUUGUAAACUUCUUUUGUGGCAGAAUAAACUACCGUACUUGUACGGUAUUGCAUGUAUGCCAUGAAUAAGCAUCGGCUAACUCCGUGCCAGCAGCCGCGGUAAUACGGAGGAUGCAGGCGUUAUCCGGAUUUAUUAGGUUUACAGGGUGUACAGGCUGCCUGGUAAGUCAGGGGUGAAAGUCGGUUUGCUCAACGAUCGAAUUGCCUUUGAAACUGUCAGGCUCGAGUAUGGAUGCGGUAUGCGGAAUGUGUAGU
rnacentral:rRNA from 1 species